UGUGAGAUCUGUGGAAAUGGGAGGGAGGAUGAGCACCACGCGGUGAUUGCCUGCACAAGGAGCAGGGCACUCAGACAGGCGCUGAGAGAAACAUGGGGUCUGCCGAAGGAAGAGAGCUUUAGUUACACGGGAGAGGACUGGUUACAGCUGCUGCUUGGAUCACAACCUGAGAACACCAGGAACAGAAUCAUGUUGCUACUCUGGCAAGCAUGGCAUCUCAGGAAUAAUGUGGUACAUGGUGAUGGAAGAGAUACU
rnacentral:rRNA from 1 species